GGUUCCUCAAGGGUUCUUCGGAUGGUUAAAGUUUCUAUAGUUCUAAACGGGUUCUACUGUCACUUACCGAGGUGUUCUGUGGAUGUAUGAUUAUUUUAUUUUUCAAUUAAAGGACGAAAAGUCGGAGAAGUGCUAAUGGUUCCUCAAGGAGCCCAUGGAAACAUUUGAAGUACAGAUGUGGGAUCCAGUUCCGCAAUGCUCCCCGUGAUGCUCCUUGAACAUCUCCACUAAGGCUUUGUUUCUUUAACAGUUCCAGGUUGGAGCUUUUAAAGGUUUAACGCGGCCAGGUUUUCAGAACGAUAAGCGGAACCUUCGUUCUGCAUAAAAGAUAAACCAACAUGAAGAUCAGAGAGCUGUCUAUGGAUGAAAAUCAAGCCAUUUUGAAGCAGAGAAAAGAGGGAACGUCUAGCGGCGGCACUGCACAAACACUGGGCACAGCCAGUACGACUAUUUGGAAU
ensembl:lncRNA